GAUGAACGCUGGCGGCGUGCCUAAUACAUGCAAGUCGAGCGAACAGACGAGGAGCUUGCUCCUCUGACGUUAGCGGCGGACGGGUGAGUAACACGUGGAUAACCUACCUAUAAGACUGGGAUAACUUCGGGAAACCGGAGCUAAUACCGGAUAAUAUAUUGAACCGCAUGGUUCAAUAGUGAAAGCCGGUUUUGCUGUCACUUAUAGAUGGAUCCGCGCCGCAUUAGCUAGUUGGUAAGGUAACGGCUUACCAAGGCAACGAUGCGUAGCCGACCUGAGAGGGUGAUCGGCCACACUGGAACUGAGACACGGUCCAGACUCCUACGGGAGGCAGCAGUAGGGAAUCUUCCGCAAUGGGCGAAAGCCUGACGGAGCAACGCCGCGUGAGUGAUGAAGGUCUUCGGAUCGUAAAACUCUGUUAUUAGGGAAGAACAAAUGUGUAAGUAACUAUACACGUCUUGACGGUACCUAAUCAGAAAGCCACGGCUAACUACGUG
rnacentral:rRNA from 1 species